AGUGAACGCUGGCGGUAGGCCUAACACAUGCAAGUCGAACGGCAGCACAGUAAGAGCUUGCUCUUACGGGUGGCGAGUGGCGGACGGGUGAGGAAUACAUCGGAAUCUACUUUUUCGUGGGGGAUAACGUAGGGAAACUUACGCUAAUACCGCAUACGACCUCCGGGUGAAAGCAUGGGAUCUUCGGACCUUGCGCGAUUGAAUGAGCCGAUGUCGGAGUAGCUAGUUGGCGGGGUAAAGGCCCACCAAGGCGACGAUCCGUAGCUGGUCUGAGAGGAUGAUCAGCCACACUGGAACUGAGACACGGUCCAGACUCCUACGGGAGGCAGCAGUGGGGAAUAUUGGACAAUGGGCGCAAGCCUGAUCCAGCCAUACCGCGUGGGUGAAGAAGGCCUUCGGGUUGUAAAGCCCUUUUGUUGGGAAAGAAAAGCAGCAGGUGAAUACCCCGCUGUUCUGACGGUACCCAAAGAAUAAGCACCGGCUAACUUCGUG
rnacentral:rRNA from 1 species